rnacentral:rRNA from 1 species
AGUGAACGCUGGCGGUAGGCCUAACACAUGCAAGUCGAACGGCAGCACAGUAAGAGCUUGCUCUUACGGGUGGCGAGUGGCGGACGGGUGAGGAAUACAUCGGAAUCUACUUUUUCGUGGGGGAUAACGUAGGGAAACUUACGCUAAUACCGCAUACGACCUACGGGUGAAAGCAGGGGAUCUUCGGACCUUGCGCGAUUGAAUGAGCCGAUGUCGGAUUAGCUAGUUGGCGGGGUAAAGGCCCACCAAGGCGACGAUCCGUAGGUGGUCUGAGAGGGUGAUCAGCCACACUGGAACUGAGCCACGGUCCAGACUCCUACGGGAGGCAGCAGUGGGGAAGAUUGGACAAUGGGCGCAAGCCUGAUCCAGCCAUACCGCGUGGGUGAAGAAGGCCUUCGGGUUGUAAAGCCCUUUUGUUGGGAAAGAAAAGCAGCAGGUUAAUACCCCGCUGUUCUGACGGUACCCAAAGAAUAAGCACCGGCUAACUUCGUG